rnacentral:lncRNA from 1 species
CUGGAGAGUGGAGUCUCUCUCUGCUUCCUGAUCACCAUGUGAGCUGCUUCCCUCCACCACACUCUUCCUCCAUGAUGUCCUGCCUCCCCUCGAGUCCCGAGGAAUGGAGUUUGCUGUCUGUGGACUGGGACCUCUGAAACUGUGAGCCCCCAGAUAAACUCUUUCUCCUCUACAAUUGUCUGGUCAGGUCUUUUAGUCCCCAUAGCGACAAAGCUGGAUAAAACACCCCCAUUGAACUUCUUCCUCCAGCUAGGUCCCAGCUCUCCGUGGUCCAUGUCAGCCUGCAGUGGUCCACUUGAUUGUUGAUUCACUGAUGAGGUCAGAGCUGGACUUCUUAACCUUGCUGCAGGGGAGCCAUGUUUUCAAUGUGUGACGCUGGGGGACAUUUCAGUUCCAAACCCUAGCAACUGUUAAUCAAGUAGUUGUACGAGAUGUCACACCUGUGAAGAAUGCUAUGUAAGGGGGACGCCACGAGAUGGGAGUCUGGGAGUCAGUAAGGCAUCCCCAGGGAAGUGGCGCUUGGUGAUGAGUAGGACUUAACUAGGGAGAAGAGCAGGGGGUCCAUGUUUCAGACAGAAGAGGAGCCUGUGCCAAGCCCUGUGGCAGGAGGGAGCCCGGCACAGGGGGCCAAUGUGACUGAGGUGCAGAGUGUGGCUCCAGCUGGGACUGAAGAAGAUGCAUGGUGGCCAUGAAGGAACCUGCAGACCACAGUAGGGGAUUUUUAAAGCUAUGUCUAAAGAAUGGGCAGCCAUUGGUGGAUUUUAAGCAAGGAGGUUAAUGAAGGUAGGUUUAUAUUUUGAAAAGAUCACCCCAGCUUCAGUGGGAAUCAUGGUUUACAAGGCCAGGAGUGGUGGC